rfam:Metarhizium majus ARSEF 297 Scaffold_14, whole genome shotgun sequence.
GGCCGGGUGGCUCAAUGGUAGAGCGUCUGACUACGCAGCGAACCAGUAUCCUUAUAGUAUCAUUAUCCCCGUAGUCAGAAGGUUGCAGGUUCGAAUCCUGCCCUGGCUG